rnacentral:rRNA from 1 species
UACGGCCAUACCACCCUGAAUGUACCCGAUCUCGUCUGAUCUCAGAAGGUAAGCAGGGUCGGGCCUGGUUAGUACUUGGAUGGAAGAUUAAGGGGGAAAAUAAAGAAGAAACUGAGU